AAGUGCGAUCAUACCAGUACUAAUGCACCAUAAUGCACCGUACUAAUACACGCUGUGCUUAGGGAGUAGUACUAGGAUGGGGGACCUCCUGGAAAGUCCUCGUGUUGCACCUC
rfam:Vigna angularis cultivar Jingnong 6 scaffold768_3, whole genome shotgun sequence.